rnacentral:misc_RNA from 1 species
GGGCGAUCCAAUACGGCUCGAAGUUUAUCAGUAACGGGCAGCCUGGCACGGCACAGGAUGUCGACAGGUCCACCACCCUUGCUCGCAAAGUUUUCCGGCUUCUCAAGUGGGUCAAUGAUCUGCAUGGUCUUAUCAGCCCUCCUGCUAAGGGGACUCCUCUUACACUGGUCUUGCUUGGGAAGUCCAAAAAUGCGCUGCUCUCGACUUUCU